rnacentral:rRNA from 1 species
UACGUAGGGUGCAAGCGUUAAUCGGAAUUACUGGGCGUAAAGCGUGCGCAGGCGGUUCGCUAAGACAGAUGUGAAAUCCCCGGGCUUAACCUGGGAACUGCAUUUGUGACUGGCGGGCUAGAGUAUGGCAGAGGGGGGUAGAAUUCCACGUGUAGCAGUGAAAUGCGUAGAUAUCUGGAGGAAUACCGGUGGCGAAGGCGGCAUCCUGGACCGACAUUGACGCUGAGGAGCGAAAGCUAGGGGAGCAAACGGG